rnacentral:rRNA from 1 species
GGAAUAUUCCACAAUGGGGGGAACCCUGAUGGAGCGACGCCGCGUGAGUGAAGAAGGGUUUCGACUCGUAAAGCUCUUUUCUUCUUGACGAAUGACUUAUUAGAUAAGUAGAGACGGUAGAGAGGGAAUAAGCCACGGCUAACUACGUGCCAGCAGCCGCGGUAAUACGUAGGUGGCAAGCGUUGUCCGGAAUUAUUGGGCGUAAAGGGAGCGCAGGCGGAAAUUUAAGUCGUACUUAAAAGUGCAGGAGUAAAAUCUGUGAUGGGUACGAAACUGGAAUUCUUGAGAGCAGGAGAGGCAAGCGGAAUUCCCGUUGUAGCGGUGAAAUGCGUAGAUAUCGGGAGGAACACCAGUGGCGAAGGCGGCUUGCUGGACUGCAUCUGACGCUGAGGCUCGAAAGCUGGGGUAGCGAACG